rnacentral:rRNA from 1 species
UACGGAGGGGGCUAGCGUUGUUCGGAAUUACUGGGCGUAAAGCGCGCGUAGGCGGACCUGCAAGUCGGGGGUGAAAGCCCGAGGCUCAACCUCGGAACUGCCUUCGAUACUGGUAGUCUCGAGUCCGGAAGAGGUGAGUGGAAUUCCGAGUGUAGAGGUGAAAUUCGUAGAUAUUCGGAGGAACACCAGUGGCGAAGGCGGCUCACUGGUCCGGUACUGACGCUGAGGUGCGAAAGCGUGGGGAGCAAACAGG